rnacentral:tRNA from 1 species
UUGGGAUAGCUCAGUGUAGAGCAGAGAUGGACU